ensembl:snoRNA
CACCCCUGGCAAUGAGAAAAGAGACACCUUGUUGUUGGUGGUGUUCUUAUAUCAGUCAGGGGCCGAGCAGAGGGCAGACCUUUGUUCAUCCUAGCUCGGUGCCUGGCUUGGUGGCCAAAGCUGUCUUAUGCCUAAGACACAUAA